AGCGCUGCUUAUUGUGUAGCAAUACAUGGUAAGCGGAGCGGCGCAAGGGUGCGUAACACGUGGGUAAUUUACCAUAAAGUUGGGGAUAACUCGCUGAAAGGCGAGCUAAUACCGGAUGUGAUAAUUUGGCGGCAUCGCUGGAUUAUUAAAGUUGGGGAUCGUAAGACCUGACGCUUUAUGAUAAGCCCGCGGCCUAUCAGCUAGUUGGUGAGGCAACGGCUCACCAAGGCUAAGACGGGUAGCUGGUCUGAGAGGGCGCACCGGACACACUGGAACUGAGACACGGUCCAGACACCUACGGGAGGCAGCAGUGGAGAAUUUUUCACAAUGGGGGAAACCCUGACUGGCAGCGACGCCGCGUGGAGGAUGAAUGUCCUUCGGGACGUAAACCCUGUCGAUCGGGAACAAUGCAUGUUAAGAUGGUACUGAUAGUACCGGAAGAAGGAAGGCCCGGCUAACUUCUGUGCCAGCAGCCGCGGUAAUACGAGGGGUCCAAGCGUUGUUCGGAUUACUUGGGCGUAAAGGGUGCGUAGGCUGGUUAGGUAAGUCCGAUGUGAAAUCUCAUGGCUCAACUGGCAUAGUCGGCAUCGGAUACUAUCGGACUUGAGGAGUGGGAGAGGGGAGUGGAAUUCCUCGGUGUAGGCAGGUGAAAUGCGUAGAUAUCGAGGAGGAACACCAGUGGCGAAGGCGAGCUCACUGGACCAUACUGACACUGAGGCACGAAAGCUAGGGGAGCAAACAGGAUUAGAUACCCUGGUAGUCCUAGCCUAAACGGUGACUGCUUUGGUGUAACGGUACUCGACCCCCUGUGGCCGUAGCUAACGCGUUAAUACAGUCCGCCUGGGGAAGUACGGUCGCAAGGCUUAAAACUCAAAGGAAUUGACGGGGGCCCGCACAAGCGGUGGAGCAUGUGGCUUAAUUCGACUGCAACGCGAAGAACCUUACCUGGGCCUCGAAAUGUACAGGAAUCCGGUGGAAACAUCGGCGUCCCGCAAGGGACCUGUAUAUAGGUGCUGCAUGGCUGUCGUCAGCUCGUGUCGUGAGAUGUUGGGUUAAGUCCCGCAACGAGCGCAACCCUUAUCUUCAGUUGCUACCAUUUAGUUGAGCACUCUGACGAAACCGCCUCGGAUAACGGGGAGGAAGGUGGGGAUGACGUCAAGUCCUCAUGGCCUUUAUGUCCAGGGCUACACACGUGCUACAAUGGCCGGUACAAACCGUCGCAAACCCGUGAGGGGGAGCUAAUCGGAAAAAGCCGGCCUCAGUUCGGAUCGUAGUCUGCAACUCGACUACGUGAAGCUGGAAUCGCUAGUAAUCGCGGAUCAGAAUGCCGCGGUGAAUACGUUCCCGGGCCUUGUACACACCGCCCGUCACAUCACGAAAGUGGGUUGCACUAGAAGUCGGCGAGCCAACUCGCAAGAGAGGCAGCCGCCCAAGGUGUAAUUCAUGAUUGGGGUG
rnacentral:rRNA from 1 species